AGUGAACGCUGGCGGUAGGCCUAGCACAUGCAAGUCGAACGGCAGCACAGUAAGAGCUUGCUCUUACGGGUGGCGAGUGGCGGACGGGUGAGGAAUGCAUCGGAAUCUACUUUUUCGUGGGGGAUAACGUAGGGAAACUUACGCUAAUACCGCAUACGACCUACGGGUGAAAGCAGGGGAUCUUCGGACCUUGCGCGAUUGAAUGAGCCGAUGUCGGAUUAGCUAGUUGGCGGGGUAAAGGCCCACCAAGGCGACGAUCCGUAGCUGGUCUGAGAGGAUGAUCAGCCACACUGGAACUGAGACACGGUCCAGACUCCUACGGGAGGCAGCAGUGGGGAAUAUUGGACAAUGGGCGCAAGCCUGAUCCAGCCAUACCGCGUGGGUGAAGAAGGCCUUCGGGUUGUAAAGCCCUUUUGUUGGGAAAGAAAAGCAGCAGGUUAAUACCCCGCUGUUCUGACGGUACCCAAAGAAUAAGCACCGGCUAACUUCGUG
rnacentral:rRNA from 1 species